rnacentral:lncRNA from 1 species
AUGAAAUAAAUCCCACAUAGUUAUUCAUCUAAAUCUCGUCAUUUUAUACUUCUUAGUUCCAUUUUGCAACCAUGUCAACUCCCAAUAUUGGCAUUGCUGAAUUGUACGUAAUGAAAAAGAUGAUCAAGGAGAAGAAAAUGCCGAAAAGCUUGGGGAAGAAAGAGAGUUCUGACUCGGGCUCGGGUUCCCGUGGCCACAGCUUCUGCCGGGGGUUUCGCAGAAUUCACCCUGCAGCUGGUGUUCUCCCAUUGCACCGUCCCUGAAAAUUAAGAUAGCCCAGAAUAUAUAUAUAUAUAUAUAUGCAUGGUUUAUACUGUGACUUCGUGACUCCUAUUACACCAGUUUCUUUUGAUUUUUAUAUUUUGCGAAAUUUUCUAUAUAAUUUAUUUUCCUCGUGUGAAAAUGUUUGAACUUCGUCCAGUUUCGUCUAGUACUACUUUUAUCGACUUCAAAAAACGAGUUUCACUGUAUAUGAGCCAAUGGAACUUCACAUAAGGCGACUUCUAAACUUUCAAGAUGUAAUAGUCACAGAAUAAUUUGUCGGCAAAGUUGCUUGAACCUUGACAUCAGGCCGCACUACAAUACCAUUUAUUUUUGCCUAAUUAUGGGUACAAUGAAUCGUACGUUAAAUUAAAUCUUAAAUAGCAAAAAUAUGAAAAUAGAAACCUUAUUUGAUCCAGUCGAAUUGGAUCCAACCAAGUCCUAGUCAUUGCGUUGCAGUCUCGUUUCUCGACUUCGCUUGUGUGAUUUGGACUUAUGAUUGGUUUCAUUCAUCCCCCAACACUAAUGAGUGCACUACGAAG